rnacentral:rRNA from 1 species
UACGUAUGGUGCAAGCGUUGUCCGGAUUUACUGGGCGUAAAGGGAGCGCAGGCGGCGCGCCAAGUCUGAUGUGAAACCCCGGGGCUCAACCCCGGGCAUGCAUUGGAAACUGGCGGGCUGGAGUGCCGGAGAGGUAAGCGGAAUUCCUAGUGUAGCGGUGAAAUGCGUAGAUAUUAGGAGGAACACCAGUGGCGAAGGCGGCUUACUGGACGGCAACUGACGCUGAGGCUCGAAAGCGUGGGGAGCAAACAGG